rnacentral:rRNA from 1 species
GAUGAACGCUGGCGGCGUGCCUAAUACAUGCAAGUCGAGCGAACGGACGAGAAGCUUUUUUCUCUGAUGUUAGCGGCGGACGGGCGAGUAACACGUGGAUAACCUACCUAUAAGACUGGGAUAACUACGGGAAACCGGAGCUAAUACCUGCUAAUAUUUUUAACCGCAUGGUUCCAAAGUGAAAGACGGUCUUGCUGUCACUUAUAGAUGCAUCCGCGCUGUAUUAGCUAGUUGGUAAGGUAACGGCUUACCAAGGCAACGAUGCAUAGCCGACCUGAGGGGGUAGGCGGCCACCCUGGAACUGAGACACGGUCCAGACUCCUACGGGACGCAGCAGAGGGGAAUCGUCUGCAGAGGGCGAAAGCCGGACGGAACAACGCCGCGUGAGUGAUGAAGUGCUUCGGUUCGUAAAACUCUGUUACUAGGGAAGAACAUAUGUGUAAGUAACUGUGCACAUCUUGACGGUACCUAAUCAGAAAGCCACGGCUAACUACGUG